rnacentral:rRNA from 1 species
UACGAAGGGUGCAAGCGUUUAAUCGGAAUUACUGGGCGUAAAGCGUGCGUAGGCGGUUAUUUAAGUCUGUUGUGAAAUCCCCGGGCUCAACCUGGGAAUGGCAAUGGAUACUGGAUAGCUAGAGUGUGAUAGAGGAUGGUGGAAUUCCCGGUGUAGCGGUGAAAUGCGUAGAGAUCGGGAGGAACAUCAGUGGCGAAGGCGGCCAUCUGGAUCAACACUGACGCUGAGGCACGAAAGCGUGGGGAGCAAACAGG